UAUCGUAUCACCGUGAAAAUGUCUGGUGAAGACGUGAAGUGAAUAAUAGUGAUAGAGGAAUGCGUGAGAAGAGAAGAGAGCAGAGGCAGCAGAGCAUAGGAUUUCAUUCAAGAAUUCAAUGGACCGUUCUGAAGUAUUCCUGCGAAACAUGGACCAUGAGUGCAGAAUGCGAGAAGAAAGUAUCCGCUUUUGAGAUGUGGUGCUAUCGAAGGCUACUACGGAUCUCAUGGAAGGACUUCGUUACCAACAAGGAAGUACUAGCAAGAAUAGGAGAGGAGCGGAAAGUCGUAGGUGAAGACAUCAAAAACAGAAAGCUAAAGUAUUUAGCUCAUAAAAUACGAGAAAACGGUAUUUUCAUGCUAGCGGUACAGGGGAAAAUCCAAGGAAGAUCGACGAGAGGCAGGAAACGAUCGGAACUGUUAACAACAAACUCACCGGCCAACUCCCCCUGCAAGACCCUGAAAGAAACAAUUAGAUACGCUAGAUACCGGCUAAUAUAGAUGGACAUAUACGCUAUCUCCUGUAAAGGAGCGCGACUACGACGACGACGACAAGAAUUCACCUUGAUUUCCGCAUAUUGAGCUCAAGCUCAAUUCAAUCAAUUUUGUAGUAGGUAUAAGCAAUAUAAUUUCCGCGAAAUAGCCAUUUUAAACACAAAAAAAUUAAGAAGAAGUCCAUCAAAUAAGAACUUAUUUUGAAUGUAUAUUGUGAAACGAAUAAAUACAGAAAAUUAGUGGGUAACCAAAAUACUGAAACAAGAUAUUAUGCAAAAAUAUUAUGAACUAACUUUGCCCACACACUCUAUACAUAAAGAAUGCAGAUGGUCCAUACAUAUUCCACUGAUCUCUCUUGAAAAUUCGAAAUCUUGUAAGAAAAUUUAAAUUUUACUCUCCAGUCAUCAUUUCCAUAAAUUC